GACGAACGCUGGCGGCGUGCUUAACACAUGCAAGUCGAACGGAAAGGCCCUGCUUUUGUGGGGUGCUCGAGUGGCGAACGGGUUAGUAACACGUGAGUAACCUGCCCUUGACUUUGGGAUAACUUCAGGAAACUGGGGCUAAUACCGGAUAGGAGCUCCUGCUGCAUGGUGGGGGUUGGAAAGUUUCGGCGGUUGGGGAUGGACUCGCGGCUUAUCAGCUUGUUGGUGGGGUAGUGGCUUACCAAGGCUUUGACGGGUAGCCGGCCUGAGAGGGUGACCGGCCACAUUGGGACUGAGAUACGGCCCAGACUCCUAUGGGAGGCAGCAGUGGGGAAUAUUGCACAAUGGGCGGAAGCCUGAUGCAGCAACGCCGCGUGCGGGAUGACGGCCUUCGGGUUGUAAACCGCUUUCGCCUGUGACGAAGCGUGAGUGACGGUAAUGGGUAAAGAAGCACCGGCUAACUACGUG
rnacentral:rRNA from 1 species